rnacentral:snRNA from 14 species
AUACUUACCUGGCGCGGGGGGAUACCGUGAUCAAGAAGGCGGUGCCUCCAGGACGAGGCCUGUACAUUGCACUCCGUAUGGGCUGACUCCUGCGACUACCCAAAUCGGGGUGGCUCGAGCGCAUAAUUUUUGGUAGUGGGGACAAGCGUUCGCGCUGUCCCUUU